rnacentral:rRNA from 1 species
AAGUCGUAACAAGGUCUCCGUAGGUGAACCUGCGGAGGGAUCAUUACCGAGAUGAGGGCGCCUCGCGCGCCCAACCUCCCAACCCUUUGUCGAUUACAGUACCGCUGUUGCCUCGGGGGUGCGACCCGUAGCGUCGCGCGGAGCCCCCGAGACGUCUCAACCGAACACACUGCGUCCUUGCGUCGGAGUAUUGAUAACUGAAUCAAUCAAAACUUUUCAACAACGGAUCUCUUGGUUCUGGCAUCGAUGAAGAACGCAGCGAAAUGCGAUAAGUAAUGUGAAUUGCAGAAUUCAGUGAAUCAUCGAAUCUUUGAACGCACAUUGCGCCCCCUGGCAUUCCGAAGGGCAUGCCCGUUCGAGCGUCAUUACACCACUCAGAGCCUGGCUCGGUAUUGGGCGGCGGGGAUCCCCCGCGCCUCUAAUUUGUCGGCUGGACGGUUCGAAUCUCAGCGUUGUGGUUUCAAUCAGGAUCGCUGACGAGGACGACCGGACGCGCCGUUAAACCCCACCACAGGUUGACCUCGGAUCGGGUAGGGAUACCCGCUGAACUUAA